rnacentral:rRNA from 1 species
GUGGCAACACCCUGAGUAAAGCGGCGGACGGGUGAGUAACGCGUGGGUAAUCUACCCUCUAGUCUGGGAUAACCUUCCGAAAGGGGGGCUAAUACCGGAUCAUGUCCCUUUGGGGCAUCACAAGGGGAGCAAAGGGGGCGCCCGCAAGGGGCUCUCGCUGGAGGAGGAGCCUGCGUCCGAUUAGCUAGUUGGUGGGGUAAUGGCCCACCAAGGCGACGAUCGGUAGCCGGCCUGAGAGGGCGAUCGGCCACACUGGGACUGAGAUACGGCCCAGACUCCUACGGGAGGCAGCAGUGGGGAAUCUUGCGCAAUGGGCGAAAGCCUGACGCAGCGACGCCGCGUGGGGGACGAAGGCCUUCGGGUUGUAAACCCCUGUCAGGCGGAACGAAUCCCCCGAGGACGAAUACUCCUCGGGGUUGACGGUACCGCCAGAGGAAGCCCCGGCUAACUACGUGCCAGCAGCCGCGGUAAUACGUAGGGGGCUAGCGUUGCUCGGAUUUACUGGGCGUAAAGAGCGCGUAGGCGGCCAGGUAAGUCUGAUGUGAAAGCCCUCGGCUCAACCGAGGAUCCGCAUUGGAAACUACCUGGCUUGAGGCCAGGAGGGGAGGGUGGAAUUCCCGGUG